rnacentral:misc_RNA from 1 species
AAUUGUUGCACUUAUAAUGGAACGUGAUUGGAAUGCUUGGGUUAUUGGAUUUGACUCUAGACUCCUUGCUGCUGCCUAUUCUGGUAUUGUAUGCUCAGGAAUUGCAUAUUAUGUGCAAAGUGUUGUUAAUAAAGUUAAAGGCCCAGUAUUUGUAACAGCCUUUAGCCCAUUAAGUAUGGUUAUUACUUCAAUUCUUGCUGCUAUUAUCUUAGCUGAAUCAGUCCAUCUUGGAAGCUUAAUUGGAG